AUAUAUUAAAAUAAUCAAAAUAUAUUCUAAAUAAAUCUCAAUUAAGUUCUAAUUUAAUUCUAAUUAAAAUCCUAAUGGACUUCAAUCAAAUCUUAAAACAAUUUUAAAUCCUAAAUCAAAUCCUAAACAAAUUCUAAAUUCUAAAUCCAAUCCUAAUAAAAUUAUAGACAAAUCUUAAAUCCUAAAUCAAAUCCUAGAAAAAUCUUAAAUCUUAAAUCAAAUUCUAAUCAAAUCCUAAAUCCUAAAUCAAAUCCUAAUCAAAUCUUAAAUCCUAAAACAAAUCCUAAUAAAAUCCUAAAUCCUAAAUCCUAAAUCAAAUCUUAAUCAAAUUCUAAAUCCUAUAUCAAAUCCUAAUCAAAUUUGAAUCUUAAAUCAAAUCUUAAUCAAAUCCUAAUCAAAUCUUAAUCAAAUUUAAAUCCUAAAUCAAAUCUUAAUAAAAUUCUAAAUUCUAAAUUAAAUCCUAAUUAAAUUCUAAAUCCUAAAUCAAACC
rnacentral:lncRNA from 1 species